rfam:Ruaniaceae bacterium KH17 genome assembly, contig: Ga0066873_102
CGGGGCGUAGCGCAGCUUGGUAGCGCACCUGCUUUGGGAGCAGGGGGUCGCAGGUUCAAAUCCUGUCGCCCCGA